rnacentral:rRNA from 1 species
UACGUAGGGUGCGAGCGUUAAUCGGAAUACUGGGCGUAAAGCGUGCGCAGGCGGUUCGUUGUGUCGGCGGUGAAAGCCCCGGGCUCAACCUGGGAAUUGCAUUUGAGACUGCAUAGCUAGGGUGCGGAAGAGGGAAGCGGAAUUUCCGGUGUAGCGGUGGAAAUGCGUAGAUAUCGGAAGGAACACCAGUGGCGAAAGCGGCUCCUGGUCCAGCACCGACGUCAGGCACGAAAGCGUGGGGAGCAAACAGGG